rnacentral:lncRNA from 1 species
GAGAGCAGAAGCCUGGCCUUUGCUUCUGAUGGUGCUUGGGGAUAUGAUGGCUGGGAAGCAACACCUUUCCUCACCAGGCUGAAGGUAUUGGUAGGCCGUUAGACCGUGGAAGAAGCGACAAUUAGAAAUAGACGUAGGGUGGGCAGAGACUUUUCAGUGCCCCAAAGAGGCACAGUUUUGUUUCCUGACUGCUGUCAGUUGUGAUCAGAUGAACUGUGACAUGGGAGUUAGUCACUGUUUUUUUUUUUUGGAGGGCCACUAAGCAUCUAGAAUCAGCGCCCCUCCAGUUGUCAGCCCCUUGUUUACCUGCCCAGGUAUGAGGUGGCUGGCAAGCUGUGGGCUGCAGCUUCAGUCCUGCAUGCUAGCUGCGUGCCUCACCCUGCAGUGGAUGCCAGAACUUCUUCAGGCUCCCAUGCUGGAAUGCACACGGCUAGCUUUUCCUGACCAGUCUAGGUCUGUGGUGAAAGGAGUCAUUCAAAUGGGUGGGAUCAUUGACUCUCCUUUUAGGUGUGGACAGCUGAUGACCUCCACAGACCUCAGAGUCUAAUUUCACGAGCAAUGGCUUAAAGUCUUAGGCUGUGUUACAGUGGUAUUGAAGUGUGUUGUUAUUGUUGUUAUUGUUGUUUUUCGAUCACAUUUUGCUGCUUGAUUUACAUAUUAAAUAUUCCUCAUGAACUUUGCUUUAUAAAAAAAAA